rnacentral:rRNA from 1 species
UACGAAGGGUGCAAGCGUUAAUCGGAAUUACUGGGCGUAAAGGGUGCGUAGGCGGUUGUUUAAGUCUGUCGUGAAAUCCCCGGGCUCAACCUGGGAAUGGCGAUGGAAACUGGGCAGCUAGAGUGUGUCAGAGGAUGGUGGAAUUCCCGGUGUAGCGGUGAAAUCCGUAGAUCUACGAAGGAACGCCAAAAGCGAAGGCAGCUCUCUGGGUCCCUACCGACGCUGGGGUGCGAAAGCAUGGGGAGCGAACAGG